GCCGGCCUCCUCUCCAAAAAAAAUUAGCUUGCUUCUCUCACUCAGAUUUGUUAUGGUUGUUCUAUAUAAUAAAUGGUGAUUAUAUUUUUGUUGGUAAUGUAUUUCUAGUGGCACAAAAUUGGUGGAUAACUGGAUAUGAAUUCUUCUAAAAGAAAAUAGGGAAUUGAUAAGCACAUUUGGAUUUUGCCUUGUACUAGUUUGCUCAUGAGGACUGAUGAUAAUUUAAAUUUGAUGCCAAAGAUGAUGUGUUAUGUAUAUAUCACUUUGCACCUUGGUUGGUAGCUUGCAUCUCAUAUCGAUCAGAAGUUUUUCAGCUAGGUGCAACCUACCAAACAAUAUCUGCUAAAUACAUCAUCUCUCAUACACCCUUAGAUAGAAACAACCAAACAACAUCUCUGCUCAGCCUGCCCCAAAGCAUAUAGGACACCAAACACACAUCUGAGCUUAUCUUUGCAUCAACUCAGCCAGGAUCCCAGAUACGAUACAGGCUGGAGUAAUGUGAACAACCUGACAGUGACACACCCUUAUUUUCUGUUUCGCGGUGCCGGAAUAUAGCAUAAAGCUGUUUAGACAUUUGGAUACUACUGUAGCCACUGAAACUUACAAAAGGUGCAGAAAUUGCUGUCUAUGACCGGUCCUAUUUGUCGCUGAUGCAGUUUUGCUGCUUGAUUUUGGAGUUCGUAUGUCUUUUCUAGUGCCAAAAAAUGCGUUAUCUGCUUGUUUUGUCCAGUGUCGCAAUGUAAACUAUUUCUAAGUUGUCUGGUUGUUGCGUUGAUGCACAUAAUUGUUGAGGAGAUUCAUUUGCGGCGUUUGGCUAAAAUUGUAUGGCGAGUUUUAGCGGUGUCAUACUCGCUUUGUGUUUCAUAUAUGCAUAUUGAUAUGUAUUUUUUCACCAUGCUUUUAGUAAUAAGCUAGCUUGAUUUUCAACUUUGUAGGCAUCAUACAUAUAUUGAUUUGUUUGUGGUCAUUAGUCGAUAGCCAUACAGGGCUCCAUAUUUGUAAGGCCUGCCGCUUAUUUCCUUCUUUACCAAUUCUAAGAAGAUAAACUCAAACAUCUGUUAAACUUCACUUAAACUUCAUGUUAUUUUCCUGCAAAUUACUUCAAUCAUAAUCUCUAUUCAGUUUGCCCUAUUGUUUUUAAAUGUGUCUGCAGAAGAAUUUGGUAUCUAGGUUUCCUCAAGAGACUAGAUUGCUUACUAUGGCUGAGGAAACCAAACCAAAGAAGCAAAAAGAUGAGGAACGCAUUAUAAACCGUCUCCCAGGAGAACUCAUUGAUCGGAUAUUUUUGAAGCUUCCAGUGAGCACUUUGUUGAGGUGCACCGGUGUCUGCAAGGAAUGGCACAAAAUGAUUCGAGAUCCCCAGUUUGUCACCUCUCACCUCCAGGAUGCGCCCCAAUGUGCUUUCCUAUUCUUUCCACAAGAGUCGAUCUCAGGAAAGCUCUAUCCUGCUGAUGCUAUCCUGAUUGAUGAGACCUGGUCACAGUCAACAUGUGCAGUGCCAGUGGUUGGCCCUGGUGAUUCCCUUUGUGGUUCAUGCAACGGUCUUCUUUGCUUAUACACAAAGUCGUCAACACUCAAGAUAGCUAACCUUGCAACGGGUGAAUGUCUGCAUCUUGAUAAACCUGUAAACAAUUUAAGGGGUGAUCACUUCUUCUUGUAUAACUUUGGAUUUCACCCAGUGACAAAAGAAUACAAGAUUAUACACUUCCUUGGUGAUUCUGUUGAGGGCCGCCCUCUCCAUAAUAAUAGCAGGUUCAGAGUCGUUCAAGUUUACACGCUUGGUCAUGAGAAAUGGAGAGAUAUCAAAACUCCAGAAGCCCUAAGUUUAAACUGUGUAAAAAACUCUGGAGCAGUUAAUAUUGGUGGAACAAUGUACUGGCUAACUGAAGACAUGGUAGCUAGCUGGCAGCAUGCAGUUAUUACCUUUGAUCUCAGUGAAGAAAGUUUUGCACGGAUACAACUGCCAGCAACUGUACUCGAAGACUCGGCAGGUGGUGGGCCUCGUCGGUACUGGGUUCAUGGUUUUUGAGUCGCGACUCAUGCGAGUCGCUCUGGGGCAGCGACUCGGAAGAAGUCGAGCCUGCGUUGUGACUAGUCGCGACUGAGAGUCGCGAGUCGACACUAAGUUGAGUCGACCAUAUUUUUGCGACUCAUAGACUAGUCGUCGACUAGUCGCGACUAGUCGAGCGACUCAAAAUCCAUGACUGGGUUAGAGAGAUUGAUGGGAAGAUAUGUAUAGCAACGGCUCAAACCUGUUCCUUUCGGCCCAGAAGGCUUGUUGGUAAGCUGCAAGUUUGGACACUUGAGAACAAAACGGAGCAAAGGUGGAGCCAGAAGUACAAUAUUCAGUACUCACCUGAUUACAUUCCGGGUCCAAAUUUGGUUCAUAGGGGUAAGAUCAUAUUGCAACGUCGUGACCGUAACCUAUAUUCCUAUGAGUUGCUUGGGGACAAUUCCAAUACUAAAUUGUGUAAGAUGACAAAGCUGUUAGAUUUCAAGCCCCACAAGCCUGACAACAUGCAAUCCUACAUCUGUGUGAAGUCACUUAUACGCUUAGAUGUAUACAAGAAGGCUGGCAUUGUUCGUAGGCCAAAACAGCGGGGAGUGUGGGAAUUGAAGAAGUGGGAAGUGUGGGAGCACAAGCUCUCUGAGAAUGAAAGAAUAUGGACCGAUACUCAUCGAGACGAGCAUGUGGGAGCUGCACAUGCACAAUGCUAUCACACGAUGAUCAAUGAUGUGCUGCCGCGUAUAUUGGAUGACACAAUUCAACUGGAAAUAGGCAUGGAAAUCAAUCAAAUAUUUCCGAACAUUCCUGAUCAGACUCCAGCAGCCAAGGCCCCUCCGGCGGCUUAAUUGUGUGUCGCAGAAGCAGGACAUGGAAAAUUUAUUUGUUCGUAUGGAGAAUUGGAAUAAUAUUACGAAGGCUACGAGGGAGGCAAGGCAUAGUAUCUUUAGCAUGAUGGUUAAUGCUGUAUUAAAUCAGAUCGGCGCCUCGAGUUCAGACGCUGGCAUUUCUUCUCAGAAUCGCAGUGAGGGCGAUGAUGUGAAGAUUUGAUACUUGAGAGCUUAUCAUGACAUCCUUCUCAGCUCGCUCAGGCUGUUGUUCAACUCUUGUUUGUUUGUACCCCGAGGGAACGUUUAGCUGUUUCACCUGUAAAACAGUGAUCUAUGCACUGUCAUGUUUCCAUUUGAAUUCUUGAUAUUUAUGGCACUUAAACAUAUUGGUCAAUUUGAGAUGUUGAAGAAUCUGCGGGGCAGCAAGACCAUUUGAUCUGAAGAUCAGACUAACUCCUGCCACCGAGUAUAUAUUGAAGAUUUACAGAGUACUGUACUUGGAAGUGCGAAACUUGUAGUUGCACUAUAAUCUUCUAUCUAUGGAUGAAAGCAAAACCUUUCAUA